AGCGGCCGCGGUAAUUCCAGCUCCAAUAGCGUAUAUUAAAGUUGUUGCAGUUAAAAAGCUCGUAGUUGAAUUUCGGGAUCAAAGAAUCGGUCAUGCCUUGGUAUGUACUGGUUUUAUUGGUUCUCACCUUCUAAAGAACCAUGAUGUCAUUCAUUUGAUGUUAUGGGGAAUUAGGACUGUUACCUUAGAAAAAAUUAGAGUGUUUAAAGCAGGCUCACGCUUGAAUACAUUAGCAUGGAAUAAUGAAAUAGGACGUUUGAUUCUAUUUUGUUGGUUUCUAGGAUCGACGUAAUGAUUAAUAGGGAUAGUUGGGGGCAUUAGUAUUCAAUUGUCAGAGGUGAAAUUCUUGGAUUUAUUGAAGACUAACUACUGCGAAAGCAUUUGCCAAGGAUGUUUUCAUUAAUCAAGAACGAAAGUUAGGGGAUCGAAGACGAUCAGAUACCGUCGUAGUCUUAACCAUAAACUAUGCCGACUAGGGAUCGGAUGAUGUUAAUUUUAAUGACUCAUUCGGCGCCUUAAC
rnacentral:misc_RNA from 1 species